UUGUGCCAGAGGACCUAUGAUGUAUAUGAGAUCAUCUGUGGAAAAUGUGGCACAUCCUACAUUGAAAGCACGACAAGAAAACUGCAUGUAUGCAUUAAGGAAUGCAUGCAUGCAGACACUUCCGUGAAGAAAUAUCUACAGAAAUGCCAGACCUGGGAAUUCACAGUGCACAUCAAGGUAACACAGUAGAACAGGGGCAACCUUAGAAUCUCUGAGGCUAUCCUCAUACAUCAAAAGAAACCCAAGAUCAACAACAGAAGAGAGUUACAGGAAGCUAGCUGGUUGCUAUAGCAACACCCUUCUGCACACGUCCGUUCCACACAUGCACAUUGGCAACAUUCAUCAAUUUCUUGAGGAUGGGGUCAUAAACCUGAAAUAUUGAAUACAAGAAGCAUCACAAGUGUCAGUAACAUCAACGCCAACACAGGGAUACCCACUAAAACUUAUGUCGGAUCUUGUGAAUCCAAAUUUUAAAUUCACCUGAACAACUACAGAAAGUGAAAAAUGGUAAAACACGAAGGAUCAUCCUGAAAUACAUCAAAGGCAUGUCAGAACCAGCAGGUAUUCACACCUUUAAAACCAAAGAAUGCAGGUGAAACAGCAAUUCAGUG